rnacentral:rRNA from 1 species
AGUCGAACGAAGAUCGUUAUAAAAAGGAUUGAAGAUUUAUCGGAUUGAGACUUUGUAACAAUGGUCUUAGUGGCGGACUGGUGAGUAACGCGUAAGGAACCUGCCUUUUAGAGGGGAAUAACAAUGAGAAAUCAUUGCUAAUACCGCAUAUGCCAUAGUUAUCACAUGAUAAUAGUGGGAAAGGAGCAAUUCGCUAAAAGAUGGCCUUGCGUCUGAUUAGAUAGUUGGUAAGGUAACGGCUUACCAAGUCGACGAUCAGUAGCCGGACUGAGAGGUUGAACGGCCACAUUGGGACUGAGAUACGGCCCAGACUCCUACGGGAGGCAGCAGUCGGGAAUAUUGCGCAAUGGAGGAAACUCUGACGCAGUGACGCCGCGUAUAGGAAGAAGGUUUUCGGAUUGUAAACUAUUGUCGUUAGGGAAGAGAAAGGACAGUACCUAAGGAGGAAGCUCCGGCUAACUACGUGCCAGCAGCCGCGGUAAUACGUAGGGAGCGAGCGUUAUCCGGAAUUAUUGGGUGUAAAGGGUGCGUAGACGGGAAAACAAGUUAGUUGUGAAAUCCCUCGGCUUAACUGAGGAACUGCAACUAAAACUAUUUUUCUUGAGUGCAGGAGAGGUAAGUGGAAUUCCUAGUGUAGCGGUGAAAUGCGUAGAUAUUAGGAGGAACACCAGUGGCGAAGGCGACUUACUGGACUGUAACUGACGUUGAGGCACGAAAGUGUGGGGAGCAAACAGGAUUAGAUACCCUGGUAGUCCACGCCGUAAACGAUGA